GGACCUGCGGCCGCGAGAGGCUGGCUGGGCCCCUAACCCCGAAUCACAAUCAAGGGCUCCACAGCCUCCCAGACCCAGACCAGCCUGGACUACACAAGCCAACCAGUGAUUAGACAGAAACCAGACGCAGGCAGGCCGCCCGCCCGCCCGGCCUCACGCGCUCCUCCGCGAUCCCUCGGCCCGGGGCCGGAAAGGGCCUCACGGACCGCGACGCCAUUUUCUCGGCGCCAUUGCACCGCUCGCCAGGAUUAGGCUGCCGGCAUGGCGUCGCUCCGCCUUGCCCCGAUCCUAAAUGCCGUUCAGGUCCACACGGCUCCCGCCCUCCUUCGCUGCACAGAGCCACUUACCCCGGCCGCAGGGAUCCCGCAGCCAUUUCCAGACCUACCACUGAUCUAGAGCGGAGACCAGCGAGACUACCGUCCUAGAGCGGUGGGCCGCGCGGCAAGCGGAAGAAAUCAACCGGCCACCGAGACGUGGUGAGGCUAGAGCGGCCGUGCCGCCCUUCUUACACGCAUGCGCCACCGGGGCUCCUCGGAGCGCCAGCCUAAUCGGCUGGGCACGCUUGACAGAUUCCCGAACCAAGGGGCUAAGCUAGGAGCCAAUGCCAUGAAGAGAUUCCUCGAGCUAUCCUGGAACAGCACUCUGCCCAGUAUUCCAAAAGCUUUAGAAACCCUCUGCGCCUACGGGGACUGGUGCUUCGUGGUAAACCAGCGUCAGACUCCGGUGGGAAGGAGCCAGGAAAACUCCAAAGUCCCUUUGCGGGCCGCGCAGCUCUUGGCCUAUUGCAGGGAGUAUGCGGGGCCGGGAAGGGCAUCCGCCCAACAGGAAUUCCCUGGGACUUAACUCUGCUUUACUCCUUGCUAGAAACACCCUUGCCCCGUCCAUUUCUUCCUAAAUACCAACCAGGAGUCAGGAGCCAAUGCCUUGGCAUACGUGCCUACGAGGGCCGGACCCCCUAACCCCCAGCCUCCUCACGAAGGCAUUUAAGGAUAUCCCCCCCCCCUCUAGCGCUUACUACAGUGACAUUCCUUCACUGUCCCCCAAAUUACUUAAGGAAACCGGAGAGAGGCCUUUACUCUCUUACAGUACUGUGAACACUAGCCACUUUGCCCAGAGAGCAGUUAACACCGGGUAGGCGCUCAGCUUUGCCCCAUACAACCAGCUUAUUUAUGUAUGCACAGACACAAGGCUUGGAAGCCAGACUUAUGUCCUAACUUCGGCUUCCUGGAAGAACGAACAUGUGCUCCAGUCUAGUAAGCCCUCUCUCACACUGUAGAGGCCUUUAAUGCUCCAUUCAGAAGUCCAGGUCUUGAGUAGUUUUCUUUCUAACAUGUCCCAAGAUUACAUGCCAGCUCGUGGGGCUUCCAGUACAAUAGGAGGCUGCGUCUGCUUCCCUUGGUGAGAUCCUUCAAUACCACCUUUCUGAUUCUUGUCAAGGAGCCUACCCUGAUUCCUCAACUCUGCCCUUGAGUUAUGUUCCCAGCAUCCACAAAGAGACAAAAAACUCCGGUUCCGGGGAUUCAGUGCCCUCUUCUGGCCUCCUUGGACACCAGGCACCCGGCACCCAUUGUAUGUACACAUAAUAGAUGCAGAACACUCAUACACAUUAAAUUUAAAAAAUUUAAAUAUAAAAAAACUAAAACCCAACAUUUAACUUCUAGUUCAUUUUAUUAUGUACAGUGCUGGAGAUUGAACCAGGAGCCACUCUAGGGACAUGCUAGGUAUGGAGUGAUCUUAACAGCUAACUUUAGAUAAAAUGUGCACAGCACUGAAGAAUCCUAUAACAAACAAAUCAGCAACUUUGUAUGAAGUGGAAUAGAGUAAAGCAUCUGUCUUUGAUUUCACUGUAAGAACAGCAGAUUCCAAUUUGCAGCAGAUCUUUAUCUGGCAGUGGUACAUCUGUACACAGCUGAGAUCCAACACCGACCAUCACAGUACAGAGAGCACAAGGUACUGGCAGCACAGAAAAGAGCCAAGAAAACAAUUCAUAGACUUUGUAACCAGGUGUAGUGACAUCUGUAUUGCAAGCACUGAGGAUGCUGAAGCAAGAAGACCUGUGAACUCCAGGACAACCUUGGCUACAGAGUGAAACACUCUCUUAAGACAUAAAAAAGUACAAAAACCAGUCAAGACAGCCAGGGAAACACUGAGACCCGUCUCAAAGAAAAAGAAGAAAAAAAAGUAACAACAAAGAGGGCUUAUGUCACAAAUUGUCCGGUCCACAGAACAGAAUCUGUGCAAACCUGCCUAUAGAGGUCAGGGCUGGAGAGAUGGCUCAGCAAUUAAGAGCACUGGCUGCUCUUCCAGAGGUCCUGAGUUCAAUUCCCAGCAACCACAACCCACAACCAUCUGUAGUGGGAUCUGAUGUUUUCUUCUGGUGUUCAUGAAAAGAGCUAUAGUGUACUCAUACAUAAAAUAAGUUAAAAAAAAAAAAAAAGGUCAAUGAUCCUUCUUUUUCUGGUUUAUUUCCC
ensembl:lncRNA